rnacentral:tRNA from 1 species
ACCUGGGUGGCUCAGUUGGUUAAGCAUCUGACUUUGGCUCAGGUCAUGAUCUCACGGUUCGUGGGUUCGAGCCCCACAUCAGGUU